rnacentral:lncRNA from 13 species
CUCUCCUUCCCUCUCCCUCUCUCUCCCUCCCUCUCUCUUCCUCCCUCUCUCUCCCUCCCUCUCCCUCCCUCCCUAUCUUCCCCGUCUGACACUUAAAAUAAUACUGUUCAGUUCUGCUCCACUGCCCAGUGAUAGUGAUGGCUGCUCCACUGCCCAGUGAUAGUGAUGGCUGCUCCACUGCCCAGUGAUAGUGAUGGCUGCUCCACUGCCCAGUGAUAGUGAUGGCUGCUCCACUGCCCAGUGAUAGUGGUAGCUGUCCUGUCUUCUUCUCUACUUCAUAACAUUCCAUGUUGGUGACGGACCUCUGUGUUCUGUCUACUGGACCAAGCACUAGUUCUAGAAGCACUAACCCGCUGUGGGGUGUUCCAAAUGGCAUAAUUUUCCCUCUAUAGUGUACCACUUUUAACCUGUGCCCCUAUGCACUGUAUAGGAAACAUGGUGUAUUUUUCACCUGUGCCCCUAUGCACUGUAUAGGAAACAGGGUGUAUUUUGGGACAUACACAUGGGGUUCGUAAUGACAUCUGUUUGAUGUUUUCUGUCAUCAACUCUGGGACUAAAACAGCUGAUAUAUGGACUAAAACAGCUGAUAUAGGUACUAAAACAGCUGAUAAAUGGACUAAAACAGCUGAUAUGGGGACUAAAACAGCUGAUAAAUGGACUAAAACAGCUGAUGUAGGGACUAAAACAGCUGAUAAAUUGACUAAAGCAGCUGAUAUAGGGACUAAAACAGCUGAUAAAUGGACUAAAACAGCUGAUAAGUGGACUAAAACAGCUGAUAAAUGGACUAAAACAGCUGAUAAAUUGACUAAAACAGCUGAUAUAGGGACUAAAACAGCUGAUAAAUGGACUAAAACAGCUGAUAUGGGGACUAAAACAGCUCAUAAAUUGACUAAAACAGCUGAUAAAUGGACUAAAACAGCUGAUAUAGGGACUAAAGCAGCUGAUAUAGGGACUAAAGCAGCUGAUAAAGGGACUAAAACAGCUGAUAAAUGGACUAAAACAGCUGAUAUAGAGACUAAAACAGCUGAUAUAGGGACUAAAACAGCUGAUAUAGGGACUAAAACAGCUGAUGUAGCACAGAUUUGGUUAUUUUAUUGCUGGACAGCUGCUAUCAGCUUGUAAUGGGCUAUCAGCUUGCGUUAGGCUAUCAGCUUGCGUUAGGCUAUCAGCUUGUUACGGGCUAUCAGCUUGUUACAGGCUAUCAGCUUGUUACGGGCUAUCAGCUUGCGUUGGGCUAUCAGCUUGUUACGGGCUAUCAGCUUGUUACGGGCUAUCAGCUUGUUACGGGCUAUCAGCUUGCGUUGGGCUAUCAGCUUGUUACAGGCUAUCUGCUUGUUACGGGCUAUCAGCUUGCGUUGGGCUAUCAGCUUGCGUUAGGCUAUCAGCUUGUUACAGGCUAUCAGCUUGCGUUGGGCUAUCAGCUUGUGUUAGGUUUGUGUUAUAUUAUUAUGCCAACCUUUAGCAUUUAGUUAGUCAAAUGGUAGCGCUAGCAAAGCCUGCUCUGUCAUGUAAGCUAAUUGUUAGCGAACAACGUCAGCUCUAUGUAGAAUCAAACCAGGACAGGAUUUUAAUCGUUGGAUGCACUUGUUAGCGAGUUAAAUAAAUUAGCAAUUCGUUUAAAUAGGUUGUUCGGUGACAUUAGUUACCUACAGGCCCAGAUCAUUUGAUUUCGGUGUCGCUAUACACUCCUACAUUACUCAAGUUUAUAUAACCAGUAAACAAUCUGUGGUCGUAACAAUCAUUGAUUAUUUCCUCGGAAAGCUACCUGCCAUAUUUCCCAAAUGUAAUGACAAAAAGCACCAACGUUUCUGAAGUGACAGUAUCGCUGCAUCCCAAAUGGCACCCUAUUCCACAAUAUUAAACUAUUUUUUACAAGAGCCCUAUUGGCCCUGGUCUAAAGUAGUGCUCUAUCCUAUUGGCCAUGGUCUAAAGUAGUGCUCUAUCCUAUUGGCCCUGGUCUAAAGUAGUGCUCUAUCCUAUUGGCCCUGGUCAAAAAUAGUGCUCUAUCCUAUUGGCCCUGGUCAAAAGUAGUGCUCUAUCCUAUUGGCCCUGGUCAAAAGUAGUGCGCUGAGAAAGGGUGUCCAUAUCUCUGACGUCAUCGUGCUGUAUGACGCUCGCUGACUUCUUCUUAGGUCAAGGGUCACCAAAAACAGACAGUCACUGCCUAAUGCUCAGUCCCAAAUGACACCCUUUUCUGUAUAAUAGUGUACUACUUUAGACCACAGGCCAUGGGGAGCCCACAAUAGUGCACUACAUGCACUAUAUGAAUAGGCUGUCGUUCGGGAUGCCUUUGUAAUGUUGCAUUCUAUUAGAGAUUAAAAGUGUACUUUAGUUGUUUUGUAUUCACACUAAACAUUAUUGAUCAAUUCCUUGGUGCAUUUUGCCCAUUUAACUGAUAUAUAUCCAUAGAUGGGUUGGCUGGCGAGCUCACAACGAUGUAUCCAUGAGGUAUGCCUUGUUGUGAUUUCUGGACAGUCAGAUAGCUAGCAACGUUGACAAGAAUCUUCCAUGUGGGGAAUUCUAGGUGGCUCAUUUCAGCUCGUUGUAUCUUGUUAUUGAACCUAUGUCUUGUUUUGACUGAUGUUAUGUCUAUGCUAAUAUGGCAAAACAUUUGCUAGCUAGCUAACCAACAACUGUAACCAUGUAUUUGAGAGACAAGUGCUCAUUGUGCAAAUGUAUUUAUGUUUUCAAUAAACAUUUGGUGACAAAAUCUAGUUUGUCAAAAGUCUAAGUCAACCUUGUCUGUUUUGCCCCAUAUUUGCACACACAUCAGUUUUGUUACUAAACAACUAACUCUUCUUUAAUACCUGAGAAUAUGUGAUGGGAGCUUUAUGAUGUCCAUAUUAGGAGAGCCUGAAUCUCAGUAGACCUGCACGGUGUCCAUAUUAGGAGAGCCUGAAUCUCAGUAGACCUGCACGGUGUCCAUAUUAGGAGGGCCUGAAUCUCAGUAGACCUGCNNNNNNNNNNCUCUCCUUCCCUCUCCCUCUCUCUCCCUCCCUCUCUCUUCCUCCCUCUCUCUCCCUCCCUCUCCCUCCCUCCCUAUCUUCCCCGUCUGACACUUAAAAUAAUACUGUUCAGUUCUGCUCCACUGCCCAGUGAUAGUGAUGGCUGCUCCACUGCCCAGUGAUAGUGAUGGCUGCUCCACUGCCCAGUGAUAGUGAUGGCUGCUCCACUGCCCAGUGAUAGUGAUGGCUGCUCCACUGCCCAGUGAUAGUGGUAGCUGUCCUGUCUUCUUCUCUACUUCAUAACAUUCCAUGUUGGUGACGGACCUCUGUGUUCUGUCUACUGGACCAAGCACUAGUUCUAGAAGCACUAACCCGCUGUGGGGUGUUCCAAAUGGCAUAAUUUUCCCUCUAUAGUGUACCACUUUUAACCUGUGCCCCUAUGCACUGUAUAGGAAACAUGGUGUAUUUUUCACCUGUGCCNNNNNNNNNNGCCUGAAUCUCAGUAGACCUGCACGGUGUCCAUAUUAGGAGAGCCUGAAUCUCAGUAGACCUGCACGGUGUCCAUAUUAGGAGAGCCUGAAUCUCAGUAGACCUGCACGGUGUCCAUAUUAGGAGAGCCUGAAUCUCAGUAGACCUGCACGGUGUCCAUAUUAGGAGAGCCUGAAUCUCAGUAGACCUGCACGGUGUCCA